UUGAAGAGUUUGAUCAUGGCUCAGAUUGAACGCUGGCGGCAGGCCUAACACAUGCAAGUCGAGCGGUAGCACAGAGAGCUUGCUCUCGGGUGACGAGCGGCGGACGGGUGAGUAAUGUCUGGGAAACUGCCUGAUGGAGGGGGAUAACUACUGGAAACGGUAGCUAAUACCGCAUAACGUCGCAAGACCAAAGUGGGGGACCUUCGGGCCUCAUGCCAUCAGAUGUGCCCAGAUGGGAUUAGCUAGUAGGUGGGGUAACGGCUCACCUAGGCGACGAUCCCUAGCUGGUCUGAGAGGAUGACCAGCCACACUGGAACUGAGACACGGUCCAGACUCCUACGGGAGGCAGCAGUGGGGAAUAUUGCACAAUGGGCGCAAGCCUGAUGCAGCCAUGCCGCGUGUGUGAAGAAGGCCUUCGGGUUGUAAAGCACUUUCAGCGGGGAGGAAGGCGGUGAGGUUAAUAACCUCAYCGAUUGACGUUACCCGCAGAAGAAGCACCGGCUAACUCCGUGCCAGCAGCCGCGGUAAUACGGAGGGUGCAAGCGUUAAUCGGAAUUACUGGGCGUAAAGCGCACGCAGGCGGUCUGUCAAGUCGGAUGUGAAAUCCCCGGGCUCAACCUGGGAACUGCAUUCGAAACUGGCAGGCUAGAGUCUUGUAGAGGGGGGUAGAAUUCCAGGUGUAGCGGUGAAAUGCGUAGAGAUCUGGAGGAAUACCGGUGGCGAAGGCGGCCCCCUGGACAAAGACUGACGCUCAGGUGCGAAAGCGUGGGGAGCAAACAGGAUUAGAUACCCUGGUAGUCCACGCCGUAAACGAUGUCGAUUUGGAGGUUGUGCCCUUGAGGCGUGGCUUCCGGAGCUAACGCGUUAAAUCGACCGCCUGGGGAGUACGGCCGCAAGGUUAAAACUCAAAUGAAUUGACGGGGGCCCGCACAAGCGGUGGAGCAUGUGGUUUAAUUCGAUGCAACGCGAAGAACCUUACCUGGUCUUGACAUCCACAGAACUUUCCAGAGAUGGAUUGGUGCCUUCGGGAACUGUGAGACAGGUGCUGCAUGGCUGUCGUCAGCUCGUGUUGUGAAAUGUUGGGUUAAGUCCCGCAACGAGCGCAACCCUUAUCCUUUGUUGCCAGCGGUUMGGCCGGGAACUCAAAGGAGACUGCCAGUGAUAAACUGGAGGAAGGUGGGGAUGACGUCAAGUCAUCAUGGCCCUUACGACCAGGGCUACACACGUGCUACAAUGGCAUAUACAAAGAGAAGCGACCUCGCGAGAGCAAGCGGACCUCAUAAAGUAUGUCGUAGUCCGGAUUGGAGUCUGCAACUCGACUCCAUGAAGUCGGAAUCGCUAGUAAUCGUAGAUCAGAAUGCUACGGUGAAUACGUUCCCGGGCCUUGUACACACCGCCCGUCACACCAUGGGAGUGGGUUGCAAAAGAAGUAGGUAGCUUAACCUUCGGGAGGGCGCUUACCACUUUGUGAUUCAUGACUGGGGUGAAGUCGUAACAAGGUAACCGUAGGGGAACCUGCGGUUGGAUCACCUCCUU
rnacentral:rRNA from 1 species